rnacentral:rRNA from 1 species
UAGGGAAUCUUCCGCAAUGGGCGAAAGCCUGACGGAGCAACGCCGCGUGAGUGAUGAAGGUCUUCGGAUCGUAAAACUCUGUUAUUAGGGAAGAACAUAUGUGUAAGUAACUGUGCACAUCUUGACGGUACCUAAUCAGAAAGCCACGGCUAACUACGUGCCAGCAGCCGCGGUAAUACGUAGGUGGCAAGCGUUAUCCGGAAUUAUUGGGCGUAAAGCGCGCGUAGGCGGUUUUUUAAGUCUGAUGUGAAAGCCCACGGCUCAACCGUGGAGGGUCAUUGGAAACUGGAAAACUUGAGUGCAGAAGAGAGGAAGUGGAAUUCCAUGUGUAGCGGUGAUGUGCGCAGAGAUAUGGAGGAACACCAGUGGCGAAGGCGACUUUCUGGUCUGUAACUGACGCUGAUGUGCGAAAGCGUGGGGAUCAAACAGGAUUAGAUACCCUGGUAGUCCACGCCGUAAACGAUGAGUGCUAAGUGUUAGGGGGUUUCCGCCCCUUAGUGCUGCAGCUAACGCAUUAAGCACUCCGCCUGGGGAGUACGACCGCAAGGUUG